GCUGUGAUGGCCAAGUGGUUAAGGUGUUGGAGUUGAAAUCCAAUAGGGUUCCCCUGUGCACAGGUUCAAAUCCUGCUUACAGCA